rnacentral:rRNA from 1 species
GACAGAGGGUGCAAACGUUGCUCGGAAUUACUGGGCGUAAAGCGCGUGUAGGCGGGCCGAUAAGUCAGAUGUGAAAUCCCUGAGCUCAACUCAGGAACUGCAUUUGAAACUGCCGGUCUAGAGUGGUGGAGAGGGAAGCGGAAUUCCUGGUGUAGAGGUGAAAUUCGUAGAUAUCAGGAGGAACACCGGUGGCGAAGGCGACUUCCUGGACACCAACUGACGCUGAGACGCGAAAGCGUGGGGAGCAAAC